rnacentral:rRNA from 1 species
GUGGGAACGCGAAGAACCUUACCUAGACUUGACAUCCCCUGAAUUACCUGUAAUGAGGGAAGUCCCUUCGGGGACAGGGAGACAGGUGGUGCAUGGUUGUCGUCAGCUCGUGUCGUGAGAUGUUGGGUUAAGUCCCGCAACGAGCGCAACCCUUAUCCUUAGUUGCUACCAUUAAGUUGAGCACUCUAAAGAGACUGCCCGGGUUAACCGGGAGGAAGCUGGGGAUGACGUCAAAUCAUCAUGCCCCUUAUGUCCUGGGCCACACACGUAAUACAAUGGCGUUAAACAGAGGGAUGCGAAGCCGUGAGGUGGAGCGAACCCCUAAAAGGCGUCUCAGUUCGGAUCGCAGGCUGCAACUCGCCUGCAUGAAGUCGGAAUCGCUAGUAAUCGCGGAUCGGCAUGCCGCGGUGAAUACGUUCCCGGGUCUUGUACACACCG